UUUAGCUACCACUUACAGAUGGACCCGCGGCGCAUUAGCUAGUUGGUGAGGUAACGGCUCACCAAGGCGACGAUGCGUAGCCGACCUGAGAGGGUGAUCGGCCACACUGGGACUGAGACACGGCCCAGACUCCUACGGGAGGCAGCAGUAGGGAAUCUUCCGCAAUGGACGAAAGUCUGACGGAGCAACGCCGCGUGAGUGAUGAAGGUUUUCGGAUCGUAAAACUCUGUUGUUAGGGAAGAACAAGUACCGUUCGAAUAGGGCGGUACCUUGACGGUACCUAACCAGAAAGCCACGGCUAACUACGUGCCAGCAGCCGCGGUAAUACGUAGGUGGCAAGCGUUGUCCGGAAUUAUUGGGCGUAAAGCGCGCGCAGGCGGUUUCUUAAGUCUGAUGUGAAAGCCCCCGGCUCAACCGGGGAGGGUCAUUGGAAACUGGGGAACUUGAGUGCAGAAGAGGAGAGUGGAAUUCCACGUGUAGCGGUGAAAUGCGUAGAGAUGUGGAGGAACACCAGUGGCGAAGGCGACUCUCUGGUCUGUAACUGACGCUGAGGCGCGAAAGCGUGGGGAGCGAACAGGAUUAGAUACCCUGGUAGUCCACGCCGUAA
rnacentral:rRNA from 1 species